rnacentral:lncRNA from 1 species
UUUUUUAAGUGUCAACUCUGUGCUAGACUUAAUUUCUGCGUAUAAAUUACUAAGAAAAAUAGUUGUAUUUUCUGUCACCAGUAGAGCUCAUAGUCCAACGUGAGUGUGACAGACAAUAAGCAAGAAAAAUGUGAAAAAUUAUAAAGUGAAAAGUGCUUCAAAUGAAUCCAACAUGUUAACAAUCUCUCCUUAUUCCCAUCACGUUCGCUGAAGCUUGAGUUGCAGGUUCUGCCACUUAAUGUAAAUUUGCCUUGAAUUUGAGACCCAAAUAAUCCUGGCAUCUUCUGAUUGCAGAAUCUACACUUACACAGCUAGGAUCUUUGAAAGACGCUUCAAGAUGAGAAAUUUAUGAGAAGACUGAGCAGGACUGUGGACAUCUCUUAGGUCUCCUGAUGUUCAAAGCAUAUUAUGUGUAGGAUAUGUUUGGAAAUAGGUACAGCCCUGUAAUUCUCUCUUUCUCUAACAAACUUCAAGAUGCAUUUUUGAACACUGUGUUCCAUUUAUUUUGUUUUCAUGGUGCGUACAUUCAAGGUUUCCAGUUUCUGGAACCUCUGAGGAAUGUCGUACUUUGGCACUUUAAGUGGCCCUCGUGAACUCCCAGUUAAGAAGAAAGGAAAAAGCUAACAGAAAAGCAGAAAAACAGCUCAAACCAAUGAGCGAGAGCCAAACAGCACCCAAGGCCAGUUUAGAUUUGCAGGCUCUUGAGUAGCUGGUUCUCAACGGCGUUUUUAAGUUAUUCCCUGUUAUAAAGUCUUGGUGAAAGCCCUUGCUUGGUCUCAGUUCUGCUGCUGGGUUAUUAGUGGCCAGACCCCUUGGGGCGUGGGGGCGAUAUCUUGCAAGCCAACAGCAAGAGGCAGCAGAACUGAUGAGUUCUGAGGGGCUGGGUCCUGGGCACACAAGAGAAAGAUCCCGGGGAAAUGCUCCAGAGAGCUGUGGGACCUCUUUGAGGUGGGCAAAUUUCUGGAAAUUGGGAAGUAUAACCUUGUUUUGUUGUCAUGGGCUAUUGAGGCUAGAGAUUCUUAGUAUAGAUAUAAUUUCCUUCUUCUUUCCAAAAUUCCUCCUCUACAGUAUGUUUGGGAAAGGCAUCAUUAUCAACUCCCCCUCGCAUUUCGCUGAGUUUGGUUUCAUAAUUUCCCCAAGGUCACAACGCAGACGUGGAAUGCCAGCCUUCCUGCUUGAGGUGCCAUGUGCGACGUGAACCGUCCUACAACUUUGAUUCCUUUAUGUUGUCCUUGCUCUUUUCCAAGAUGGCAGCCAAGAGUAUGAGGAGAGAGACCUGCCCCUAAAUUUGAAACGAUGGACAACUUGACCCUGAAAAAGCCUUGCUGUAAUUGAAAAUCCUGUUUGCUGUCCAAAGGGUGAGUGGUUUGUAACUAAUGAAACACCACCAAGAGUAGAAGCAACUUAUAUACCAAGAACAUUUGGAUUUGUAGAAGUUUUCGACACAUAGACUUCACUACAGUGCAAAUUUAUAACCCAAGCGAAGCAAGAAACUGAAUUACUUAUUUGUCUAGGCAAGUCAAAUCAACAAUUUAAUUCUAAAAACCAGUAAUUUGGAGCUGAUGUGUUCACACAAGAUCCUAUGUAUGUAGAUGUGUUACAUUCUCUGCAUGGAACCUACUUAUAUAAAUUAGGCUGCAUAGAUUAUCUUGCUAUUUUAUUAUUAUUACUUUAAUUCUGAGAUUCCUCAAAAUUUUCUUUACUAAAUUUGAAUCUAAAUUCUUUUAGCUCUUUAAAAUAUAACUGAAGCUUUCAUAGUAUCAUCACAGAGAGCAUUAUUUGAAAGCCUAAAAAUUUAGUUCAGUCAUUUCAAAAGAAGAUUUUAAUGGGGACUUAUUUCUUGGUAAAUUUGACAUUCUGAAAUAGAAACUAUUUUAACAUUUUUCAUGAGUCUCAAGUGGUAUAAUGUCAGGGGUGCCAUU